rnacentral:rRNA from 1 species
AUUGAACGCUGGCGGCAGGCCUAACACAUGCAAGUCGAACGGUAACAGGAAGCAGCUUGCUGCUUCGCUGACGAGUGGCGGACGGGUGAGUAAUGUCUGGGAAACUGCCUGAUGGAGGGGGAUAACUACUGGAAACGGUAGCUAAUACCGCAUAACGUCGCAAGACCAAAGAGGGGGACCUUAGGGCCUCUUGCCAUUGGAUGUGCCCAGAUGGGAUUAGCUAGUAGGUGGGGUAACGGCUCACCUAGGCGACGAUCCCUAGCUGGUCUGAGAGGAUGACCAGCCACACUGGAACUGAGACACGGUCCAGACUCCUACGGGAGGCAGCAGUGGGGAAUAUUGCACAAUGGGCGCAAGCCUGAUGCAGCCAUGCCGCGUGUAUGAAGAAGGCCUUCGGGUUGUAAAGUACUUUCAGCGGGGAGGAAGGGAGUAAAGUUAAUACCUUUGCUCAUUGACGUUACCCGCAGAAGAAGCACCGGCUAACUCCGUGCCAGCAGCCGCGGUAAUACGGAGGGUGCAAGCGUUAAUCGGAAUUACUGGGCGUAAAGCGCACGCAGGCGGUUUGUUAAGUCAGAUGUGAAAUCCCCGGGCUCAACCUGGGAACUGCAUCUGAUACUGGCAAGCUUGAGUCUCGUAGAGGGGGGUAGAAUUCCAGGU